rnacentral:tRNA from 1 species
GGGGGUGUAGCUCAGAGGUGGAGCACCUGCCUCGCAUGUGGGAGGCCCUGGGGUCCAUCCCCA